GUCUUUUUGAUUAUAAUAUAAAGUUUAAUCUGCCCACUGAGGUAUUUAAGGGCCGCAGUAAUUUAACUGUGCAAAGGUAGCAUAAUAAUUAGUUUUUUAAUUGAAAGCUAGAAUGAAGGAUUGGACGAGAAUUUAACUAUCUUUAUUUUAUUUAUUUAGAAUUUAAAAUUUAAGUUAAAAUGCUUAAAUUAUUAAUAUAGACGAGAAGACCCUAUAGAGUUUAAUAUUUAAAAAAAAUUUAAUUAAUAGGAUUUUAAUUUUAAUUUUAAUGGAUUAUUUUAUUGGGGUGAUAAUAAAAUUUAUAAAACUUUUAUAUAAUUAUAACAAUUAUAAUUGAUAUAUUGAUCUUAAGUUUAGAUUAUUAGAGUAAAUUACCUUAGGGAUAACAGCGUAAUUUUUUUGGAGAGUUCAUAUUAAUAGAAAAGAUUGCGACCUCGAUGUUGGAUUAAGAUAAAAAUUUAAUGUAGAAGUUAAAAAAUUAAGUCUGUUCGACUUUUAAAAUCUUACA
rnacentral:rRNA from 1 species